CAUUUGGUCGGUAACUGACUGAGGCCUGGAGGUGAUUUGCAUUCUAGGUCAUGUGAUCCCAAGAGAGUUUGGACCAAUUCUGAGUUUCUGUCCUGUUGCCAUGACAACUCGUCAACAUCAUCUCCACAGUCAGUGCGGGGGUCGACCAACAGUGAACUCGAGUGGGUUCAAGCUCUUGACGGUCACAAUCCAGAACGGGAAUGACGGUGGGUGCGAAGAGGUGAAAUGUCCAUUUCUGAGUAAACCUUGUACCCUGAAGGGUGUCGGCUCAGCUCGGAGAACGCACCCUGUGUGCAAACAUCUGCUUUUCCUAUAAUGAAUCACUUUCAUCUUA